UACGUAGGUGGCAAGCGUUGUCCGGAAUUAUUGGGCGUAAAGCGCGCGCAGGUGGUCCUUUAAGUCUGAUGUGAAGGCCCACGGCUCAACCGUGGAGGGUCAUUGGAAACUGGGGGACUUGAGUGCAGAAGAGGAUAGUGGAAUUCCAAGUGUAGCGGUGAAAUGCGUAGAGAUUUGGAGGAACACCAGUGGCGAAGGCGACUAUCUGUCUGUAACUGACACUGAGGCGCGAAAGCGUGGGGAGCAAACAGG
rnacentral:rRNA from 1 species